CUCGGUCUGUUAGAGGUUACAAUAAAGGAUGACCGACUUAUGUCUUCAAGUUUUUUAAAGUAUAUAGUCCUAUAGACCAAGGAACUCACCAUCUUACUUCAAGAAUUAUUGAGCCUUCAGCCUGAUAACUCUAUCUAUGUUCCAGCCUCUUCUUCUUCAAGAGUACGGUUUAAAGAAAAACCUUCAACUAUUUUAAAGCGGGUUCAAGAUGAACUUACAAAACUAGAGCAAAAAAAAAGGGAUCUCUAAACUUUUAGAAAUAUUCAUUUCUAAUAAUUAUACUGAAAAUUAAAAGCCGC